CCUACGGAGGCUGCAGUGAGGAAUAUUGGUCAAUGGGCGCGAGCCUGAACCAGCCAAGUAGCGUGAAGGAUGAAUGCCCUACGGGUUGUAAACUUCUUUUAUAAAGGAAGAAAGUGAGGCACGUGUGCCUUUUUGUAUGUAUUUUAUGAAUAAGGAUCGGCUAACUCCGUGCCAGCAGCCGCGGUAAUACGGAGGAUCCGAGCGUUAUCCGGAUUUAUUGGGUUUAAAGGGAGAGUAGAUGGGUUGUUAAGUCAGUUGUGAAAGUUUGCGGUUUAACCGUAAAAUUGCAAUUGAUACUGGCAGCCUUGAGUACAGUGGAGGUAGGUGGAAUUCGUUGUGUAGCGGUGAAAUGCUUAGAUAUCACGAAGAACACCGAUUGCGAAGGCAGCCUACUAAACUGCCACUGACAUUGAUGCUCGAAAGUGUGGGUAUCAAACAGGAUUAGAUACCCCUGUAGUC
rnacentral:rRNA from 1 species